GCUCUGUCCUCCAAGAUGAGCCCCAAGUCCCUGGGCACAAUACCCAGAGACACAUAGCAUCAUAUUUGGGACUAGCCCCUCCUCCUACGCUUAGCCAGAUAGAACGCUACACCUCCCUGUGGUUCUCCGUCUUUUCAGAUCAAGAUGCUGUCGGACCGAAAACGGGAGCUGGAGCAUCGGCUCAGUGCCACCCUAGAGGAGAAUGACCUGCUUCAAGGGACUGUGGAGGAGCUACAGGACCGGGUGCUGAUCCUAGAAAGGCAGGGCCAUGACAAAGACCUGCAGCUGCACCAGAGCCAGCUGGAGCUCCAGGAGGUCCGUCUGUCCUACCGGCAGCUGCAGGUCAAAGUGGAGGAGCUGACGGAGGAGAGGAGCCUGCAGAGCUCGGCGGCCACCAGCACGUCCCUGCUGUCAGAGAUCGAGCAGAGCAUGGAGGCUGAGGAGCUGGAGCAGGAGAGAGAGCAGCUGAGGCUGCAGCUCUGGGAAGCCUACUGCCAGGUUCGCUAUCUGUGCUCACACCUUCGAGGGAAUGACAGCGCCGAUUCAGCCGUGUCCACAGACUCCUCCAUGGAUGAGUCCUCAGAGACCUCAUCCGCCAAGGACGUGCCUGCCGGCAGCCUGCGCACCGCCCUCAACGAUCUCAAGAGGCUGAUCCAGAGCAUCGUGGACGGCGUGGAGCCCACGGGCACCCGGAGAAUGGAUGACGAGUCCUUAGAAGAACAAGUGAGGCAGACCAGUGAGGACUCAAGAGCCCUGAGGGAGCUCAUGGAGGGAGAGAGGGGUAAACUGAGGCAGAGCCUAGAAGAACUGCAGCAACUCCACAGUCAGGUCACGCUGCUGAGUGUGGAGAUGACCGCCCUGAAGGAAGAAAGGGACAGACUCAGAGUGACAUCUGAGGACAAGGAGCCCAAGGAGCAGCUUCAGAAGGCCAUCAGGGACCGGGACGAGGCCAUUGCAAAGAAGAAGGCUGUGGAGCUGGAACU
rnacentral:lncRNA from 1 species